rnacentral:rRNA from 1 species
AAACCAACAGGGAUUUCUUCAGUAACGGCGAGUGAAGCGGCAAAAGCUCAAAUUUGAAAUCCCCCCGGGGAGUUGUAAUUUGAAGAUUGCGUCUUGGAGGCGACCGUGUCUAUGUUCCUUGGAACAGGACGUCACAGAGGGUGAGAAUCCCGUGCGGCACGGCCCCCGGCUCCUUAUAAGGCGCUCUCGACGAGUCGAGUUGUUUGGGAAUGCAGCUCAAAGUGGGUGGUAAAUUCCAUCUAAAGCUAAAUACAGGCGAGAGACCNAUAGCGAACAAGUACAGUGAUGGAAAGAUGAAAAGCACUUUGAAAAGAGAGUGAAACAGCACGUGAAAUUGUUGAAAGGGAAGGGCAUGCCGUCAGAUUGUCAGUGUGGGUAAGAAGCGGGGUACAAAGACUGUGGAACGUGGCCCUCGGGUGUUAUAGCCGCAGUUCAUGCC